GUCAACAAUUAACUUGAUAGAGGUUCCUAGAGGACUAUAAUAUUUCACCGGGGAAGAUAUAAUCAUCCACAACGCUAUCUCAUGUCAUUCAACAGAUUUCCAUCAACUUUCAAAGUAGUUAUAUUUUAUGGGUUCUUUUUCGAUAGUGAGAAAUUACAGGAGUAAUAAAGGAAAGGGACAACGUAUAUCAUAUACAUGUAUAUCAUAUACAUGUGUGCAUUGAAAACCAACUUCAUGGAAAUAUGGCUCGACUGUAUGUGUUUGUGUGUGAGGUGAACAGGAUAUCUUAUUUCAUGGAUAAUUCUUCGGAGAAAAUUAGUUAGAAAUUUAACUUCGACGAUUUUGUAGUCGCUUACGAUGAGUGAUGAAUAAAACAAUAUAGGACAAUAUCAACAACCUUGUGAGAACCCAAGCCUUGGAAGCCUGGAAGGUAAUCUUGUUGCAAGCUCAGGAUGAGGCUCAAGCUCAACAUGCUCAAGGUGCACACGAUGAACAAGAAAACUCUAUUAGUCCAUACUAUCAUACAACACGUGACCUUAAAAGUGGUAUAUCCAUUUUGCGACGGGCACAAUAGCCGUUGCCGCCUCGGUGUUCCUGUUUGGAUUACGAACACGAAUUCUGUGGCAAUGGAUCGGAGGAGAAGCUGUGACCCAUGGGUAGUGCUGCUUUCAAAUGACCUGGAUUUCGCUAUAUGACAAAAACAAUAUAUUGUUUUCAAAAACUGUCGGCAGAAAGAGAAAUCUGUCUUGUUCGACUUUGCACUGCCUAAAGUUGCAUUUGUAUUAAAUGUAUCAGAGCCCUCAGAAAGCUAGCAAUAGGUGUCAGUCUACCAUGGCGUGUUGCAUAAUUAAACUUAUUAGAGCAACCCUUCCUGUCAAAGAGGAAAGAUGUAAAAUGCUUUGUAUAAAGCAUGCAUUCGUUUUUGUGCUAUGCCAGGUAUGUCGGCUAGCAGUGAA